GAAGAUGGCCUCUCUGUAAUAUAGUUUUCAGUGAAUCAUUCCUAUAUUUAGCGAAUAUUCUAGCCAAGCACCAAUAACAGAGAAAAAGAACGACGUUCUGACCGCUUCUUUUCGCUCAAUGUAUAUUCCAAGCUUUCCUAUGUCACACCACAGAUAUUGGAUUUGGAUCGUUUUGCUGUGGCUCUGAGAGACGUAAACCAGGAUCCCAGCUUGAAGUGCCUGACGGCGACACGAAUCGAUUUUAACCCUGAAGCCCCGUCAGCGAUAUUCCAGUGGUCGCUCAACGCUGGCGAAAACACUCCAAGGAAAAAUGCCACGCUGCAUUUCACCAAGGGGCCAUCCAUAGAUACUGCAAACAUCGUGGUAGACAAUGACACCGCUCACCCAGAUGUUGUUCGUUACCUCUACGCUGACUAUGCCGUGACGUGUGCCAUCAUGGAACUGCGCUACUUUGGCUAUCAAUGUACCUUGUGGGUUCGAAACACAACGAAGCACUCAGUAUCGGAGCAAUGUUUCAAGAUGCACGCCGCCCUCUGUGGGAAUGGUGUUUCCCUUUAUGACAAGGAUACCUGCGGUAACUACUGAACAUGAAGCAAACGCGUAAAAAAACCUUGCAA
rnacentral:lncRNA from 1 species